rnacentral:misc_RNA from 1 species
CAGAGUUAUCCAACUCCCAAACCCAUGUGAACUUAUCUCUUUGUUGCCUCGGUGGGUGCUUUAUAGCACCUGCCGGCAGACACCUUCAAAAACCCUUGAUUUAAUACUAUAGUCAGAGCUGUAACAAGCAAAAGAUUAAUAAAUCA